CAACUACAGUUAUAAUCUGAAACCCAUUGCUACUGGUCCCUAGUGACAAACUGCCUUUGAGAUUCCAGAACUGUUCUUUGGGAACUCUGGAAGUGUGUGGGGUUCUCUUUCAGUGCUCUCUAUGUUAGUAUCUAUGCAAGAGAGGAGACACUGAUUUAUAUAAUGACUUUUCACAUGAAUAUCAGGAAGAGCUUGCAUUUAAGCUGUACAUGGAGAGUAGAGAUGGAUCACAGGCAUUUCUGAGAGUGAAGGAAGACUUAAAUAUGACAUCACCUUAUCCAAGGUCAUUGAUUUCCAGUGUGAUGUCAUAUAGAUGACCCUUUACUCAAAGGCAUAGGACAUGAAUUCACCAUUGGAUUUCCAAAUAAUUGCCAUUCUAGCCACAGUCUCACACACCUUAGAUUCUGUUUCUACAUUCCCUGGUAAUAGUUACAUGGAGAGAUAAGGAGGCCAUGGCCAGUGGUAGAGCUGUAUGAAAGGCAAUGCCAUUAGGAUAGCUAUACACAAAGCACCAUAUUCUCUCCCACUGCUCCUGGAAAUCAACAGGAGACCGAAUGCCAUGAAGAGGAAAGAGACUAGAGAAGACAAGAGCAUACAUAGAACGAUCCAUGUGCGAGUGGUAUGCAAAAGAAGAAAACAGAACCGGAAAGUUCCUGAAAUAGGUAGAUGUACGAACUUAGACACAAGGGGCUCUUGACAUUCUACCAUUGACACCUCCCCCAGGCUUAACCUUGAAGUUUCUGACUUGCAAGCAAUAACAAAACAUCAAGAAGAGGAAAUUAAAGAAUUCCAGACAAAUCAAGGUUCCUCAUGGAAAUGGAUUUUUGUGAGAUUUGAAGGAGAAUUAUAUGUUUCCAUCAACGAAAAUUACAUAAGAUCUACUAAAUGUUAUUAAUGGAAGUAACACUGAGUGUUUCUUAUAUUCCAUAAGAACCUGUAUAUAAUCAAGAAGACCCCAAUUAACAGACUAAAAAAAAGGAUGAAGAAAAAAUUCUGUGAGCAACUGGUACCUGAGUGAUAGAUACACGAGUUGUAUGCAGACAAGGGGAGCUGUGAAUUGAUGGCAUCAGUCUCAAGAGACAGAUGGAUGCUCUUCAUGGUCAUUCUGUCAGGAGACUGCUGCCAUGAACCAGCCUUCUGCCAGUUUGUGUUGCUGAUCAAGUCUUGAGAGUGAGGCCUGCCCUUGUGUGUGGUUAACCUAUCAGGGGUAACAUCAUUAAAUAAAACUGAU